rnacentral:lncRNA from 1 species
CAGCCUCGACUUGACGUUAGACAUGCAAAUGGCGGACAUGUUUCGCCGAUGAUACUCCUAUUGAAUGAGUUUCAGUAUAAAAACCUUUACAACAGAUAUUAACGAUAUAUUACAUCAAAUAUAAGAAGGUAUUAUUUGUAUUAUUCAAAAAUAGCAUGCACACUAUACACCAAACCUUGAAAAAAAUAAUAAACAUACAUUAUUCCCAAUUCUUACGAGUACAUAAUUUUUAAUAUCUGUCAUAAUCUGACAGAAAAAAACAGUAGAAGUAAAAUGUUCAUUCAUCAGUACUAUAUAACGAGUCAACUACCAUGGUUUUUUUCUGCUUUCAAUAUUUCAUGUUUGAUAAACAUACUGCUGGUUUCCGGUAUAUUUGUAUUUUGAUUAACCUGAUCAUGGUAUCGCUGAUAAAACGCCUACUUUCUACACUUCAAAUAGUUGGGUAAACGAAGCUAAUAGGAUAUACAACAACAAGACGGCAACCUAACAGUAAAGGCAGGGGGCAUUUGUCCAAAUCUGACAUCAAAACUACUGGAAUCUUGAGACAAUGCUAGAUCUACACUCAGCAUGCACAGUAUUUGUAUCGUGUUUUUCACCAUCUAAAUUGUAAGGGAUCAGUGUUUUCUCACUAAAGUAAUAUGCAGACCGGUAAAUCUGCCCACCUAAUCAUUAUGCUAAUGUUUUGAUAAAAAUAUAUUUCAGCUGUUAAUUCAAAAAUGCAUCAAAUUUUAAUUGUACAGUUCUUUAGCAUGUUUAGCAAUAGCAUUGUUAAGUCUCUAUGAUUUUUAAUAUUAUAAUUGUCUGUAUACACCUUAUCGCUAUUUGUCCGCCAUUACUGGAUAUCACACAGGUUCCCUUAAAAUUUUGACGUCAUAAAACAAAAUAUUUCACGCCACAAUGGAAAAGUGAUUGUUGUAUGCGUCAAAAGUUGAAGCGGCCAGGUCAGCCGGGAUUAGCGAUAAGGUGUAUUUGGAUCACGCCUCUAUUGUGCUCUUUCCAAUAAAAUAUUGAAUUGAAUUGAACUAUGAAAACUCAAUUUUACUUAUAAAUUCUCAAUUUCACAAUCAUUUCUUAAAUGGUUGUGAAAAUCAAUCAAACAAAUAGGUCAUCUGUGUUUUUAAUCCAAGUGCAUUAUUCAUCAUUGUUCAUGCGCAACGACUAAUCACAUAUAUAAUUUACAAGCAACAAAGUGAGGAAAUGUUGAAAAAAAAUAUAUACAUGUAUACAAAAAGCUUGUGUCAAACUUUUCCAUUGCAAUUUAUUCAAGAUACAGGCAUGACUAUGAUGCAGGGAACAUUCAGAAAAAAAAGAAACUAUUUUUGCUUUCCAUUGUUUCCCAAAUUACAUUUUCUUCCUUCGAUGUGGACGUCAUGAGGCCACAAUUAAAAAUAUUUCAGUUUGCCCAAACCCGACCCAUGAUGACUGGGUGUGGGUAGGUAGGUAGGCAAAUUCUUUUUUUUUUUUUUUUUUUUAUCAGAAUUUGCAUGAAAAUAUUGAAAUAUUUUAAAACACUAUAUCUUUUUUUUUCUUGGUAAACCUUUGUAGAGAGACAGCAAAAGCCAUGAAUUUAAAACCUUUAUAAAUAAAUUAGUUUACUAUAUGAUUUGUAUCCUGAGAUGUUUAUAACCCUGACAGUGGCUAACUGUGUGAAAGGGCUGUUGGAUUUGUGAAGUGAUUUUCAACAGUUCCAUCAACACGAUGUUUGUGUAAAAAAAAUAUUCAGUGAUUAUGUAAUGAUUAAAUUUGUUUGCAAGUUUUAAAUCCUAUUCUAUUAAAAUAGAUUAAAUGUCCUAAAAUAUUUAUAUGAAUUAUUAAAAAUGUAUCUACCAUCCUUAGUUUGUAUCUUUUUUAUGUUUUGAAAAAAAAUUAUAUUUUACAUUAUCACAGGUAACUAAUUUGGCUAUAAUAGAUCAAACAUUUCUGUAGAAUCUCCAAACAAAAAUGAUUUUGUUAUAAUUUUAUUUCUUAAAUAAUCAGUUUAAAUUUUUGAAAAUAAUCAUUAUUGAUCAAUAUAAUUGCAUAAAGUUAACGUUUCUGAAGACUUUAUUUUUAGUCAUGGUUUCUAGAGGCUUCCUCCAAAUUUGUAAAAAAAUCCAAACUGUGAACUGUGUACAUAGUGCUCAUAGUAAAUAUAUUGAUGGAUUAAUAUUUAUAUAUUGCGGUGGUGGAACUACUUUUUAUUGUUUUACUCCAUAUAACGGAGGUGUGCCUAUAUUGGCAGAAAUUCAUUGGAUACAGAUAUGGCGUCCAUAACAAUGUUUUUACUUUUGCACAUGUGAAAAAAUAUUUCUGACAAAAGUCAGAUUUCUCUUGUCAAAAGGAAUUUACAUUAUAUUGCAAUAAAUUAUUCAAAAGAUUACAUUCAGUUAGAUUAAUAUUUUUGAUUCUGUGAGCAAUUAGUUUUAUCAAAUUCUCCCAAACUGCAACGUACUGAUGCUAAUGAACUUGUUAAAUUUGAACUAUUUGAAUAAAGGGCAUCUAAUUUACAUGAUAAAGGAAGAUUAUAAUUAAAGAAACAAUUUAUCAAGAAUAAUUCCUUUUUAUUCAGUAAAAAAAAAAUCUUCGUUCAAGAUUGUUAAAUUCGCAACUUCCGGAUCCAUUUCCUGUCAGGAUAACAUUGAAAAUAUUCGAUUGCACAUGGUUUUGAACAAAUCUACCUGGAUAUUCUUAUCAGAUAUUCGAUAACACGAUGAAAUUAACAUUAAGCAUAUAAAGGGUUUGGUAGUACAAACAACUACAGGGUAAAAAACUGUGCCACUUCACAAUGUUUUUACUUCUUACGUUCGUUAAAUAAGAAAUAAAAAAAAACAGAGAACAUGAAUAUCGAUUACUGCCGUCUUUUAUCGCUUUCUUUUAAUCUUUUCACAGUUACUUUUCAAACGCAAAGACGACAAAAUUAAGUUUUGUACGAUGACGGAGCGGACCCAAUAUAAUCCGAAAAAAAAAAUUUUCCCAAAAAAAAAACGUCAAAAAAAGAAUUUUGGGCGGGUUUAUUUUGGGUCGGUCGCGUUUGGGAAAACAUACAAUCUUUUUAUUUUGGCCUGAUCAUCAUGUUUUUUUUUUACAUGUAAACCAGACAAAAAUAUAGAAUUAAAGGGGAGGAGUUACGGGAAUUGUCUGUAUUGGUUAAAAUGAAUUUUCCAUCACCCUGAUCACAUUGCCUGUAAAAGAUAAAUUUUGACAAACCAAUUCCAUGCAAUUUUGGCUUGUAACAUUUUGAAAACUUGGGACAGAUAUAUAUAAUUGUUAUACACAUGUGUACUGUGGAUGUGUAGGUCAACUGUUCAAACAGAAAAAAACAACUAAUUAUAUAUAAUCCAAGAUUGCUCUGACGUGUGAUGGCUUUAAGGAUAGUACUGACUGUGGUCAAGGAAUGUCAGAUUCCAUGCAUAUAAAAAAUAUUGAAAUUGUCAAAACAAACAGGACAGAAAUUGCAAUAUAUAAUAAUGUAGAUAUAAAUUCAUAACUCGUACAUGUACGUCAUCAUGGUCAUUCAAUUCAUAUUAAGUUUACUCUAUAAAACUUUAUUUACAUACUGUUACAAAUCUCCUGACGUACAACAGAAAGCUUUAUUUCUAUCAACUCCCCAUUUUUAGUGCAAUAUUUUCACCAGUAGUACCUAUAAUCCGGCCAAGGGAGGUAACAAUACUUUGACCAAGAUAUUGCAAACUUGUAUUAUUUCCUCAUAGUAAAUAUAAUCUGGCCAAGGGAGGUAACAAUACUUUGACCAAAAUAUUGCAAACUUGUAUUAUUUCCUCAUAGUAAAUAUAAUCUGGCCAAGGGAGGUAACAAUACUUUGACCAAGAUAUUGCAAACUUGUAUUAUUUCCUCAUAGUAAUAUAAUCCGCCAAGGGAGGUAACAAUCUUUGCCAAAUAUUGCAAACUUGUAACUUAGUAAUAUAAUCUGGCUCAAUUCCAGUAAGAAAGUAUUAUUUUCAUAGUAAAUAUAAUCUGGCCAAGGGAGGUAACAAUACUUUCCCAAGAUAUGCAAAAUUGUAUUAUUUCCUCAUAUAAAUAAAUUGGCAAGGAGUAACAUCUUUCACCCAAGAUAUUGAAAACUUGAUUUUAUCUCAUCUAAAUAUAAUCUGGCAAGGGAGGUAACAAUACUUUCACCAAGAUAUUGAAACUUGUAUUAUUCCUCAUAGUAAAUAUAAUCUGGCAGGGAGUAACAAUACUUUCACAGAUAUUGCAAACUUGUAUAUUCUCAUAGGAAUAUAAUCUGGCAAGGGAGGAACAAUACUUUCCAAAUAUUGAAAACUGUAAGUUUCCUCAUAGUAAAUAUAUCGGCCAGGGAGGUAAAAUAUUCACCAAGAUAUUGCAAACUUAUAUUAUUUCCUCAUAGUAAAUAUAAUCUGGCCAAGGGAGGUAACAAUACUUUGACCAAGAUAUUGCAAACUUGUAUUAUUUCCUCGUAGUAAAUAUAAUCUGGCCAAGGGAGAUAACAAUACUUUCACCAUGAUAUUGUAAACUUGUAUUAUUUCCUCAUAGUAAAUAUAAUCUGGCCAAGGGAGGUAACAAUACUUUGACCAAGUUAUUGCAAACUUGUAUUAUUUCCUAAUAGUAAAUAUAAUCUGACCAAGGGAGAUAAUAUAUAGGAAAGUAACUCUGUCACAGGCAAAAGAUAGACUGCUACAUGUACAAAUGUAUAGUUAUAUAUCAAAUAUAAAAUGUUUAUUUUAUGUAGGUUAAGAGGUCAUCAUGCCGGCUGUGAAAGGAGAUGGCAUGCGAGGAUUGGCUGUUUUUAUAUCAGACAUUAGGAAUUGUAAGUAU